rnacentral:rRNA from 1 species
AACGAACGCUGGCGGCAGGCCUAACACAUGCAAGUCGAACGCCGUAGCAAUACGGAGUGGCAGACGGGUGAGUAACACGUGGGAACAUACCCUUCGGUUCGGAAUAACUCAGGGAAACUUGAGCUAAUACCGGAUACGUCCGCGAGGAGAAAGAUUCAUCGCCGGAGGAUUGGCCCGCGUCUGAUUAGCUUGUUGGUGAGGUAAUGGCUCACCAAGGCGACGAUCAGUAGCUGGUCUGAGAGGAUGAUCAGCCACAUUGGGACUGAGACACGGCCCAAACUCCUACGGGAGGCAGCAGUGGGGAAUAUUGGACAAUGGGCGCAAGCCUGAUCCAGCCAUGCCGCGUGAGUGAUGAAGGCCCUAGGGUUGUAAAGCUCUUUCACCCGCGACGAUGAUGACGGUAGCGGGAGAAGAAGCCCCCGGCUAACUUCGUGCCAGCAGCCGCCGUAAG